rnacentral:lncRNA from 1 species
CCGCCGUACCGGAAUUCUGAAAUUGGCCGAGUAGGCCCUGGUCUGAUUUUUGGGUUACUUGGGACAUGUGUAGGUACCGCAAGUGUGUUUCAGUUCCCGUAAAAAAAUUCAGGGAACCAAGGGACCGUCCAUAGGCGUAGUAAAAAUCUAGUUUUCGGCGUUAGAUCAGGUAAGGACCCCUCACCCUAUUUCCUAUAAUGGAAUUGAAGUUUUAAUAAAUGAUAAUACUGUAUUUUAAAUAGAUAUGCAUAAUUAAUUACGGUUGCUAAUGGAGCCCGAACCAGACAUUAUUCUCUGUCGAUUCCUGUUUGAUUUAUUUUACAGUUUAAAUGCAUUAUGGUA